rnacentral:lncRNA from 1 species
AUUCUAUUUGUGUGAUAUCUGAUAUUUAAAUAAUUCUUGCUAUUAGUGCUUGUUUUAUGAACGAAAGUCGAUAUACCAAGAGCAAAAUGGUUUAAAUAAGAUAUUUAAAUAAAUGUGAAUAUAUUAAUUUAUGAAUGGUUUUACAUAUCUAUGUAUUUUUAAUAAUAGAAUCAGUAGUUUCUUUGUUAGAAAUGAAUAUAGAGAAUUGCAAAAUUGCCAUGAAGGCCUGAUAAUGAUGCACCAUGACAGAGGCACUAAAACUUGGAAAAUUUUUUGCAAUAUUAUAAGUUUUAAUAGCUCUGUGAAUAAAACAAAACCCCUUUUUAAAAUUUUCUUCAAAAUUCUUUAUCUUACACAUUAAUAUGUGAUAUAUGAAUUUCAGAUUUGGAUAGUUUGGCAGCUAAAACAAUUUUUUUAAUUACGUAAUUUUGAUGAUGCAUAUUUCAGUUUGCAUCAUUUAAGAAUUUCAAAUAAUUUGGACUAGUGUUGGU